rnacentral:rRNA from 1 species
UACGUAUGGGGCAAGCGUUGUUCGGAAUCAUUGGGCGUAAAGGGCGUGUAGGCGGUUUUAUAAGUCCGGUGUAAAAGGUCUUGGCUUAACCAAGAUUGCGCGCUGGAAACUGUGAGACUAGAGUCUAGAGGGGGAAGCUGGAAUUCCUGGUGUAGGGGUAAUAUCCGUAGAGAUCAGGAAGAACACCGAUGGCGAAGGCAGGCUUCUAUUCAUAGACUGACGCUGAGGCGCGAAAGUGUGGGGAG